rnacentral:rRNA from 1 species
UUCCCUAGAGAUAGAGCUUUCCCCUUCGGGGGACAAAGUGACAGGUGGUGCAUGGUUGUCGUCAGCUCGUGUCGUGAGAUGUUGGGUUAAGUCCCGCAACGAGCGCAACCCUUAAGCUUAGUUGCCAUCAUUAAGUUGGGCACUCUAAGUUGACUGCCGGUGACAAACCGGAGGAAGGUGGGGAUGACGUCAAAUCAUCAUGCCCCUUAUGAUUUGGGCUACACACGUGCUACAAUGGACAAUACAAAGGGCAGCGAAACCGCGAGGUCAAGCAAAUCCCAUAAAGUUGUUCUCAGUUCGGAUUGUAGUCUGCAACUCGACUACAUGAAGCUGGAAUCGCUAGUAAUCGUAGAUCAGCAUGCUACGGUGAAUACGUUCCCGGGUCUUGUACACACCGCCCGUCACACCACGAGAGUUUGUAACACCCGAAGCCGGUGGAGUAACCUUUUAGGAGCUAGCCGUCGAAGGUGGGACAAAUGAUUGGGGUGAAGUCGUAACAAGGUAGCCGUAUCGGAAGGUGCGGCUGGAUCACCUCCUUU